UACGUAGGCAGCAAGCGUUGUUCGGAGUUACUGGGCGUAAAGGGUGUGUAGGCGGCUUCGUAAGUUCGGUGUGAAAUCUCCCGGCUCAACUGGGAGGGUGCGCCGAAAACUGCGGAGCUGGAGCGCAGGAGAGGAAAGCAGAAUUCCUGGUGUAGCGGUGAAAUGCGUAGAGAUCGGGAGGAACACCAGAGGCGAAGGCGGCUAGCUGGAUAGGCACUGACACUCAACUACGAAAGCGUGGGGAGCAAACAGG
rnacentral:rRNA from 1 species